rnacentral:rRNA from 1 species
UACGAAGGGUGCAAGCGUUAAUCGGAAUUACUGGGCGUAAAGCGCGCGUAGGUGGUUCAGUAAGUUGGAAGUGAAAUCCCCGGGCUCAACCUGGGAACUGCUUUCAAAACUGCUGAGCUAGAGUACGGUAGAGGGUGGUGGAAUUUCCUGUGUAGCGGUGAAAUGCGUAGAUAUAGGAAGGAACACCAGUGGCGAAGGCGACCACCUGGGCUAAUACUGACACUGAGGUGCGAAAGCGUGGGGAGCAAACAGG